rnacentral:rRNA from 1 species
AUUGAACGCUGGCGGCAGGCCUAACACAUGCAAGUCGAGCGGCAGCGGGAAGUAGCUUGCUACUUUGCCGGCGAGCGGCGGACGGGUGAGUAAUGUCUGGGAAACUGCCUGAUGGAGGGGGAUAACUACUGGAAACGGUAGCUAAUACCGCAUAAUGUCGCAAGACCAAAGAGGGGGACCUUCGGGCCUCUUGCCAUCAGAUGUGCCCAGAUGGGAUUAGCUAGUAGGUGGGGUAACGGCUCACCUAGGCGACGAUCCCUAGCUGGUCUGAGAGGAUGACCAGCCACACUGGAACUGAGACACGGUCCAGACUCCUACGGGAGGCAGCAGUGGGGAAUAUUGCACAAUGGGCGCAAGCCUGAUGCAGCCAUGCCGCGUGUAUGAAGAAGGCCUUCGGGUUGUAAAGUACUUUCAGCGGGGAGGAAGGUGUUGAGGUUAAUAACCUCAGCAAUUGACGUUACCCGCAGAAGAAGCACCGG